GCCCGUCUAGCUCAGUCGGUAGAGCGCAAGGCUCGAGACCUUGUGGUCGUGGGUUUGAGCCCCGUGGUGGGCG